GCCUACGGGACGCAGCAGUGGGGAAUAUUGCGCAAUGGACGAAAGUCUGACGCAGCGACGCCGCGUGAGGGAUGAAGGUUUUCGGAUCGUAAACCUCUGUCAGGAGGGAAGAAAGCGCAUGGCGCCAAUCAGCCAUGCGUUGACGGUACCUCCAAAGGAAGCGCCGGCUAACUCCGUGCCAGCAGCCGCGGUAAUACGGAGGGCGCGAGCGUUAAUCGGAAUUACUGGGCGUAAAGCGCACGUAGGCUGUAUGACAAGUCAAGGGUGAAAUGCCACGGCCCAACCGUGGA
rnacentral:rRNA from 1 species